GCUGCCACCACGCCGCGUCGCGAGCCACCCCCACGUCGCACCGGCCCGCUGCCGGCUCCCGCACUACCAUCACCCAAGAGAUGGCGUCACACACUGAACAAUCAUUGUGCUGUGUUACUGGAUCGUCACUGAAGACUUGACCUGUACUGAUUACCUACUGCGAAGAGUGAAGACAUAAAGCUUUGCGCGAGUUCCGUGCUUCCUUACUUCCCAUAGUGCUUAUGAUCGUAUGGAAUGUAAAGAAGUAUGGAGCUGCGCGGGCGUGCCCACGGGUCCGGAAAUCGCAUCAACGUUUCGGCCAUGUGUGACAGAUACUUCAUGAAGACUAUACUACUGUGCUCGUUAUGAUUUUGGAAGUGUGUUAUUUGAUUCGCUUAUGUUUAAAAUGUGUGGCAGCAGUUACUAGUUCUUGUUGGAUAAGUUAUUAUUGAUAAAAAAGGCUUCGAGAUAAAGAUAUUUUUUGUCGGUAUAGAAUGAUUAAUGUUAGCAAGGAGCAGCGUGUCAUUGUCAAGGCGUUCGCCUACGAGUGGUGCGACAAAAAAGGGGAAAGAAACAAAAAGCGGGUGUGUUGGGCCGGGGCCGCGCCUGCGCAACAUCUGGAGGAACACUGCAUCUCAUUAUGCGGAUCGGUCGCGGCUGAAUGGCCGUCGGUGCCCGUGACGUGACCGAGGACAAUGUCUUUAAUAACAUCGGGAAGGGCAUUUCUAUGCUCCUAUCCCACCAUUGUCUCUUGUUUACAGGGCCUUUGUCUGUACUGCUGUAAUUACCCACGUCGGGCAGAUCCCUGGGAAUAAUUUAGAUUUAUGCCCUGUGCAAAUCAAGUUUUACAACAUUUUGACGACAUAUUGUAAUAUAAAUAUGAUUUUGAAACAAGUCUUUGCUUGGUUACAUUGUUGUUCGUAAGACAUGUUGUUUUCAAGUGGGUCAGCUAGGUGUACCUAACAUAUUGUAAUUGCUUGCCAAAUUUGAUGGGUUAUAAUUAGAAUACAUUCAUAGUAUCUACAGUGUAUAAGUAAUAUAUUGCUAAAUAUUGAUUUGUUUUUUUAAGAUAUUAAUGUAGAGGGUGUCUGUGGAUAUAUAAUCAUGUACUUAGGUAAGUAAGUAUUAUAUUUUCUUGAAAAUACUUAGAUGUAGGUAUAAAAUAAAGAAACAAAUCACAAACACUUGUGUAA